rnacentral:rRNA from 1 species
UACGUAGGUGACCAGCGUUGUCCGGAUUUACUGGGCGUAAAGAGCGCGCAGGCGGUCGUUCAAGUCGAGUGUGAAAGCCCCCGGCUCAACUGGGGAGGGUCAUUCGAUACUGAUCGACUCGAAGGCAGGAGAGGGAAGUGGAAUUCCCGGUGUAGUGGUGAAAUGCGUAGAUAUCGGGAGGAACACCAGUGGCGAAAGCGGCUCACUGGAUCGAUACUGACGCUGAGGUGCGAAAGCUAGGGUAGCAAACGGG